rnacentral:misc_RNA from 1 species
GAUGAAGAACGCAGCGAAAUGCGAUAAGUAGUGUGAAUCGCAGAAUUCAGUGAAUCAUCGAAUCUUUGAACGCACAUUGCGCCCCUUGGUAUCCCGAGGGGCAUGCCUGUUCGAGCGUCAUUUCACCACUCAAGCCUGGCUUGGUGUUGGGCGACGUCCUCUUUGGGGACGCGCCUCGAAACGCUCGGCGGCGUGGCACCGGCUUUAAGCGUAGCAGAAUCUUUCGCUUUGGAAGUCGGGGCCCCGUCUGCCGGAAGACCUGCUCGCAAGGUUGACCUCGGAUCAGGCAGGGAUACCCGCUGAACUUAAGCAUAUCAAUAAGCGGAGGA